rnacentral:rRNA from 1 species
UAUUUGUAAGGUCCGGCUAACUACGUGCCAGCAGCCGCGGUAAUACGUAGGGUGCAAGCGUUGUCCGGAAUUAUUGGGCGUAAAGAGCUCGUAGGCGGUCUGUCGCGUCGGCUGUGAAAACUCGGGGCUCAACCCCGAGCCUGCAGUCGAUACGGGCAGACUAGAGUGCUGUAGGGGAGACUGGAAUUCCUGGUGUAGCGGUGAAAUGCGCAGAUAUCAGGAGGAACACCGGUGGCGAAGGCGGGUCUCUGGGCAGUAACUGACGCUGAGGAGCGAAAGCGUGGGGAGCGAACAGGAUUAGAUACCCUGGUAGUCCACGCCGUAACGGUGGGUGCUAGGUGUGAGCGGUAUUCCACGCCGUUCGUGCCGCAGCUAACGCAUUAAGCACCCCGCCUGGGGAGUACGGCCGCAAGGCUAAAACUCAAAGGAAUUGACGGGGGCCCGCACAAGCAGCGGAGCAUGUGGCUUAAUUCGACGCAACGCGAAGAACCUUACCAAGGCUUGACAUGCAGGGAAAUCCUCCAGAGAUGGUGGGUCCGCAAGGGUCCUGCACAGGUGGUGCAUGGUUGUCGUCAGCUCGUGUCGUGAGAUGUUGGGUUAAGUCCCGCAACGAGCGCAACCCUCGUUCUAUGUUGCCAGCGCGUGAUGGCGGGGACUCAUAGGAGACUGCCGGGGUCAACUCGGAGGAAGGUGGGGAUGACGUCAAAUCAUCAUGCCCCUUAUGUCUUGGGCUGCACACAUGCUACAAUGGCCGGUACAAAGGGCUGCUAAACCGCGAGGUGGAGCGAAUCCCAAAAAGCCGGUCUCAGUUCGGAUUGGGGUCUGCAACUCGAGCCCAUGAAGUCGGAGUUGCUAGUAAUCGCAGAUCAGCAACGCUGCGGUGAAUACGUUCCCGGGCCUUGUACACACC